rnacentral:rRNA from 1 species
AGUGUAGGCGGUCAAGCAAGUCAGAGGUGAAAGGCAUCGGCUCAACCGAUGUAAGCCUUUGAAACUGUUUGACUUGAGUGCAGGAGAGGUAAGUGGAAUUCCUAGUGUAGCGGUGAAAUGCGUAGAUAUUAGGAGGAACACCGGUGGCGAAGGCGACUUACUGGACUGUAACUGACGCUGAGGCUCGAAAGCGUGGGGAGCGAACA